rnacentral:rRNA from 1 species
GGAAUUGACGGAAGGGCACCACCAGGAGUGGAGCCUGCGGCUUAAUUUGACUCAACACGGGGAAACUCACCCGGCCCGGACACUGGAAGGAUUGACAGAUUGAGAGCUCUUUCUUGAUUCAGUGGGUGGUGGUGCAUGGCCGUUCUUAGUUGGUGGAGUGAUUUGUCUGGUUAAUUCCGAUAACGAACGAGACUCUAGCCUAUUAAAUAGACGAUGGCAUUCGUUUGACUGUCAUUGAAUGUUGCUUCUUAGAGGGACAGGCGGCGUCGCAGCCGCAUGAGAAAGAGCAAUAACAGGUCUGUGAUGCCCUUAGAUGUCCGGGGCCGCACGCGCGCUACACUGAAAAGAUCAACGCGCAUGUGCUUCCCUAUUCCGAAAGGAAUGGGAAACCGAGUGAACCAUUUUCGUGCUUGGGAUUGGGGAUUGUAAUUAUUGUCCAUGAACGAGGAAUUCCCAGUAAGCACAAGUCAUCAGCUUGUGUUGAUUACGUCCCUGCCCUUUGUACACACCGCCCGUCGCUACUACCGAUUG